GCCUGGGUAGCUCAGUCGGUAGAGCA
rnacentral:piRNA from 3 species